rnacentral:rRNA from 1 species
GACGAACGCUGGCGGCGUGCUUAACACAUGCAAGUCGAACGGAAAGGCCCUGCUUUUGUGGGGUGCUCGAGUGGCGAACGGGUGAGUAACACGUGAGUAACCUGCCCUUGACUUUGGGAUAACUUCAGGAAACUGGGGCUAAUACCGGAUAGGAGCUCCUGCUGCAUGGUGGGGGUUGGAAAGUUUCGGCGGUUGGGGAUUGACUCGCGGCUUAUCAGCUUGUUGGUGGGGUAGUGGCUUACCAAGGCUUUGACGGGUAGCCGGCCUGAGAGGGUGACCGGCCACAUUGGGACUGAGAUACGGCCCAGACUCCUACGGGAGGCAACAGUGGGGAAUAUUGCACAAUGGGCGGAAGCCUGAUGCAGCAACGCCGGGUGCGGGAUGACGGCCUUCGGGUUGUAAACCGCUUUCGCCUGUGACGAAGCGUGAGUGACGGUAAUGGGUAAAGAAGCACCGGCUAACUACGUG